rnacentral:rRNA from 1 species
AGUGAACGCUGGCGGCAGGCCUAAUACAUGCAAGUCGAACGGCAGCACAGCAGAGCUUGCUCUGUGGGUGGCGAGUGGCGGACGGGUGAGGAAUACAUGGGAAUCUGCCCAGUCGUGGGGGAUAACGUAUGGAAACGUACGCUAAUACCGCAUACGUCCUGAGGGAGAAAGCGGGGGACCGUAAGGCCUCGCGCGAUUGGAGCGGCCGAUGUCGGAUUAGCUAGUUGGUAGGGUAAAGGCCUACCAAGGCGACGAUCCGUAGCGGGUCUGAGAGGAUGAUCCGCCACACUGGGACUGAGACACGGCCCAGACUCCUACGGGAGGCAGCAGUGGGGAAUUUUGGACAAUGGGCGAAAGCCUGAUCCAGCCAUGCCGCGUGAGUG